AUCUUUCAAUAGUUUGGUCUUUGUAAAGAUGAGAUUUUGCUUUGUGUUUGUGUGGAUGAUAGAUAUCUCUAAGCAGUGAGAAUGAGAGAGAUAUUGUUGAGGUGUGUAUGGACUGAUAAACCAAUGUUUCAAGUUGUAAAAUUCACAUUGCUCAUAAAAUAUCUGAAGAAGAGACUGAGGAAGAGUUUGAAGUCAAGGAAUGCACUAACGAUGAGUUUCAUGUACAUGUGGAUACUAGUAUUCCGGUGUACAUGUGGCCAUCGGUUUCAGGUGUACAUGUGGAUACUGAACUUUCGUGUACAUGUAGAUAGUAUACUUCAAUGUACAUGUGUUUUGAGAUGAAAUUUAUUUCUAUAAUAAGUCUAUGUGUGCUCAAACUCAUAUGU
rnacentral:lncRNA from 1 species